rnacentral:rRNA from 1 species
ACGUAGUUUGAUCAUGGCUCAAGAACGAACGCUGGCGGCAUGCCUAACACAUGCAAGUCGAACGAGACCUUCGGGUCUAGUGGCGCACGGGUGCGUAACACGUGGGAAUUUGCCUCGGGGUAUGGAAUAACUCAGGGAAACUUGAGCUAAUACCAUAUAAUGUCUUCGGACCAAAGAUUUAUCGCCCUGAGAUAAGCCCGCGUAGGAUUAGCUAGUUGGUGGGGUAAAGGCUCACCAAGGCGACGAUCCUUAGCUGGUCUGAGAGGAUGAUCAGCCACACUGGGACUGAGACACGGCCCAGACUCCUACGGGAGGCAGCAGUGGGGGAAUAUUGGACAAUGGGCGAAAGCCUGAUCCAGCAAUGCCGCGUGAGUGAUGAAGGCCUUCGGGUUGUAAAGCUCUUUUACUCGGGACGAUAAUGACGGUACCGAGAGAAUAAGCCCCGGCUAACUCCGUG